rnacentral:rRNA from 1 species
UUAAGCGACUAAGCGUACACGGUGGAUGCCCUGGCAGUCAGAGGCGAUGAAGGGCGUGCUAAUCUGCGAUAAGCGCCGGUAAGGUGAUAUGAACCGUUAUAACCGGCGAUACCCGAAUGGGGAAACCCAGUGUGACUCGUCACACUAUCAUUAACUGAAUCCAUAGGUUAAUGAGGCGAACCGGGGGAACUGAAACAUCUAAGUACCCCGAGGAAAAGAAAUCAACCGAGAUUCCCCCAGUAGCGGCGAGCGAACGGGGAGGAGCCCAGAGCCUGAAUCAGCAUGUGUGUUAGUGGAAGCGUCUGGAAAGGCGCGCGAUACAGGGUGACAGCCCCGUACACAAAAGCGCAUGUGCUGUGAGCUCGAUGAGUAGGGCGGGACACGUGGUAUCCUGUCUGAAUAUGGGGGGACCAUCCUCCAAGGCUAAAUACUCCUGACUGACCGAUAGUGAACCAGUACCGUGAGGGAAAGGCGAAAAGAACCCCGGCGAGGGGAGUGAAAAAGAACCUGAAACCGUGUACGUACAAGCAGUGGGAGCCCCACCACCAAAGCAUUCUCUGGUGUUGAAGGCCCUGCAAAGCAGCAUCGCGGUGGCGGAGCGUCGUUUGCGACGCCCAACACACAAAACAAGCGGUGAGUGCUUUGGGGUGGGGUGACUGCGUACCUUUUGUAUAAUGGGUCAGCGACUUAUAUUCUGUAGCAAGGUUAACCGUAUAGGGGAGCCGGAGGGAAACCGAGUCUUAACCGGGCGUUAAGUUGCAGGGUAUAGACCCGAAACCCGGUGAUCUAGCCAUGGGCAGGUUGAAGGUUGGGUAACACUAACUGGAGGACCGAACCGACUAAUGUUGAAAAAUUAGCGGAUGACCUGUGGCUGGGGGUGAAAGGCCAAUCAAACCGGGAGAUAGCUGGUUCUCCCCGAAAGCUAUUUAGGUAGCGCCUCGUGAAUUCAUCUCCGGGGGUAGAGCACUGUUUCGGCUAGGGGGCCAUCCCGGCUUACCAACCCGAUGCAAACUGCGAAUACCGGAGAAUGUUAUCACGGGAGACACACGGCGGGUGCUAACGUCCGUCGUGAAGAGGGAAACAACCCAGACCGCCAGCUAAGGUCCCAAAGUCAUGGUUAAGUGGGAAACGAUGUGGGAAGGCCCAGACAGCCAGGAUGUUGGCUUAGAAGCAGCCAUCAUUUAAAGAAAGCGUAAUAGCUCACUGGUCGAGUCGGCCUGCGCGGAAGAUGUAACGGGGCUAAACCAUGCACCGAAGCUGCGGCAGCGACGCUUAUGCGUUGUUGGGUAGGGGAGCGUUCUGUAAGCCUGUGAAGGUGGCCUGUGAGGGUUGCUGGAGGUAUCAGAAGUGCGAAUGCUGACAUAAGUAACGAUAAAGCGGGUGAAAAGCCCGCUCGCCGGAAGACCAAGGGUUCCUGUCCAACGUUAAUCGGGGCAGGGUGAGUCGACCCCUAAGGCGAGGCCGAAAGGCGUAGUCGAUGGGAAACGGGUUAAUAUUCCCGUACUUGGUGUUACUGCGAAGGGGGGACGGAGAAGGCUAUGUUGGCCGGGCGACGGUUGUCCCGGUUUAAGCGUGUAGGUGUGUGUUCCAGGUAAAUCCGGUUCACUUUAACACUGAGGCGUGAUGACGAGGCACUACGGUGCUGAAGCAACAAAUGCCCUGCUUCCAGGAAAAGCCUCUAAGCAUCAGGUAACAUCAAAUCGUACCCCAAACCGACACAGGUGGUCAGGUAGAGAAUACCAAGGCGCUUGAGAGAACUCGGGUGAAGGAACUAGGCAAAAUGGUGCCGUAACUUCGGGAGAAGGCACGCUGACANGUAGGUGAAGUGAUUUACUCAUGGAGCUGAAGUCAGUCGAAGAUACCAGCUGGCUGCAACUGUUUAUUAAAAACACAGCACUGUGCAAACACGAAAGUGGACGUAUACGGUGUGACGCCUGCCCGGUGCCGGAAGGUUAAUUGAUGGGGUCAGCGCAAGCGAAGCUCCUGAUCGAAGCCCCGGUAAACGGCGGCCGUAACUAUAACGGUCCUAAGGUAGCGAAAUUCCUUGUCGGGUAAGUUCCGACCUGCACGAAUGGCGUAAUGAUGGCCAGGCUGUCUCCACCCGAGACUCAGUGAAAUUGAACUCGCUGUGAAGAUGCAGUGUACCCGCGGCAAGACGGAAAGACCCCGUGAACCUUUACUAUAGCUUGACACUGAACAUUGAGCCUUGAUGUGUAGGAUAGGUGGGAGGCUUUGAAGUGUGGACGCCAGUCUGCAUGGAGCCGACCUUGAAAUACCACCCUUUAAUGUUUGAUGUUCUAACGUGGACCCGUGAUCCGGGUUGCGGACAGUGUCUGGUGGGUAGUUUGACUGGGGCGGUCUCCUCCUAAAGAGUAACGGAGGAGCACGAAGGUUGGCUAAUCCUGGUCGGACAUCAGGAGGUUAGUGCAAUGGCAUAAGCCAGCUUGACUGCGAGCGUGACGGCGCGAGCAGGUGCGAAAGCAGGUCAUAGUGAUCCGGUGGUUCUGAAUGGAAGGGCCAUCGCUCAACGGAUAAAAGGUACUCCGGGGAUAACAGGCUGAUACCGCCCAAGAGUUCAUAUCGACGGCGGUGUUUGGCACCUCGAUGUCGGCUCAUCACAUCCUGGGGCUGAAGUAGGUCCCAAGGGUAUGGCUGUUCGCCAUUUAAAGUGGUACGCGAGCUGGGUUUAGAACGUCGUGAGACAGUUCGGUCCCUAUCUGCCGUGGGCGCUGGAGAACUGAGGGGGGCUGCUCCUAGUACGAGAGGACCGGAGUGGACGCAUCACUGGUGUUCGGGUUGUCAUGCCAAUGGCACUGCCCGGUAGCUAAAUGCGGAAGAGAUAAGUGCUGAAAGCAUCUAAGCACGAAACUUGCCCCGAGAUGAGUUCUCCCUGAGACUU